ACGAGUCAUAGAAGGUGGGGCUCAGCUGAGCAGCGGCUGAGACAAGGCAGAUGCAAAGAACAAACACAAACUUCAUUUUUCUUUGCUCGAGAACGCACAAGGACGGAUCGAGAAGUCGUGGCCUUUUAUACUGGAAAGGUGCGUAGAAAGACCGACGGGGAAGGCCAGUGGGAGAACUAAUCGACAAAGUUUCCUGGUAGCUUGUUACUACUGGUCGGUGAAUCUCUUGACUUGGUGCAAAGAGCAUGCCACUGUUAAGACGCUAUGAUCGAGAACAGGUACGCAUGACAAAUGUUCAUGAUGUGAUUGGCAUUCUGCGGCUCGCGUCAGUCGCAACUUUACAAGCAAAAUGAUUUGACACCGAUGCUUUUUCGAGGUAACUUUUAAUAUUUCUUGUUUUAGCUUCAGACAAUAUGAUGGCUACAGUGCAGGCAUGUCUGCUGUAGUGCUAUAACGGAAAGGAAAUUCAGAAAGCGAAGCACAGCCUUUUGUGUUACAAGAGUAUCUCAUUCUUCAGCUGUUUACGACUCGGCAGUUUUUCCGAAUCUCACCGUUGGUACCAGUGAGAGGGUUCAAGUUUCCCAUCUUCACCAUGGAAACUGCAA